rnacentral:lncRNA from 1 species
CUUGCUACCUUUUGCUUAUGAUGUGCUAAUGAUUUCUACAUAUUCAAAAUAGCAUUUACUCUUGAGUUAUAUCUGUUACAGUAAGUAGUAACAGGAUCAGGUGUGAGUUAAAAAAACCCUUAUGGUGUUAAUUAUUAUGAACAGCUGCUGAUGUAGGUCAGCAAGCAAGCUUGGACCACACCCGGUGGGGUAUAACUGUAUGAGUUUUUAGAAUACAGUUGGUGAUGGUGAUGCUGAAUGUGCAAUGACUGACCAGCAAUGCUCUUUGCUAUGAAGAACUGUGGAAAACACAGUGGCAGUACACCUCUUCACUGUCAUCUCACUGCUGAAUAAAAUCCAUUCUGCUUGACACAAUGUUCAAAUAACAAACCGCAAAAUGGGUAGGAGAUUCAGGGGAGGGGUGAAAGCU